UUGUUUAGGUUGUUUGUAUUUUUGAAGGAGUAUAAUGAAUACAGGGAGUACCUCUCAAGCAUACAUAGAAAGAAAAUGAAGAAAAAGUUGGAGAAACAAAGUAGAAGAAAUUCUUCUUCGAACCAAUGAUACUCCCAAGAUAUUAGUUAGAAAAUUAAUUUCUUAAUAAAGGUUUAUUACUACUUGACGAUUUUGCCACGUGUGAUUUCCUGCAAAACAUAUGAAAAUAUGUCAUCAUACGAACAUGCAUCUUCCAUUAGAGCCAGGCCAACACAGAGAAAUACGUCUUCGGGGAUCAAACUCUCACCAUGUCCUAAUAAUCGGAUUCCGAUGCUUACCACAAAUCCCUCGGAAAAGCAUUUGACCUUGAGGAUCUACACUGUCGUUUGAUGAAGACAACCUACAACAGCCUGCAUGACCCAUACUUAA